GGUAAAGGAAAUUGAGUGCGAGGAUUCAAUCCUUCACAAAAAUAUCUUAAGAAUGACUCCAGCUCAGUUUGCAUUCUUAUUAGAAAAAGUACGCCCCUAUAUUAGCAAGCAAAUUCAGGAACUGCAUAGGAGCUGCGAAACGGCUGCAGCUGACAUUGCGAUAUCUAUCCACUGGUGAAACCCAAAGGUCACUUCAAUUGCCGUUCCGAAUUCAGCAGUCAACCAUUUCCAGAAUUUUAAAGGAAUCAAUUCCCGCAAUAUAUUUGGCGUUAAGGGAGGAGUAUUUGAAAUUCCCUGCAAGUAAGCAAGAUUGGCGUGAUAUUGCAAAAGACUUUUAUCAGAUGUGGGGAUUCCCGAACUGCAUCGGCGCUUUAGAUGGUAAACUAACAAUUAACACUUUUAAAUUCACUCAACUGAUGAAACGUCUCAGGAAAGCAUUGCAGAAUACUGCCAGUGAGGAAAGCAGGAUCUACGUAUUUCAAUUACAAAGGAUACCAUUCAUUUGUAUUGAUGGCAAUCGCUGAUGCCCACUAUCGUUUUAUUUAUGCUGAUGUCGGUGUUAAUGGGAGAGUGGGUGAUGCUGGAAUUUGGUUGAACUCGGCCUGAAAUACGCUAAUGAAAAAAAUGAAGUACAUAUACCAGCCCCAUGCACGCUCCCUUUCAUGUCAACUCCCUCGCCUUUUGUGCUUUUAGCCGAUGAUGCCUUUGCUCUAAAAGACUACUUAAUGAAACCUUACUCUCAUCUAAGACUAUCACCAAGCGAACUUAAAUACAACAACAUACUUUCGAGGAACAGGCGCGUUGUUGAAAAUGCUUUUGGCAUUCUUGCGAACCGUUUUCGAGUUUUAUUUUCACCCAUCCAUCGCGCUCCAGCUGCAGCCAUUCAGAUUGUAUUAUCUUGCGUAUGUGUGCACAACUUUUUAAGAACAGAAAAUGUGAAAAAGAAAACUACGUUUGACGCCAUUUCCGAAAGUGAAAUAGAUGCAAUAAUAGAUAACAACUAUACAACAACCGCUUCUGAAAGAAAUGCGUCAAAAAGGAGCGCUGAAGAAAUAAGAAAAACUUUGGAAAACUAUUUUUCUGCGGUAAAUUAAAAUAUCGUUUCAUUGUUUAAAUAAACCAAAACUUUUCGUGUUGGAAAUUUUCCAUACUAGUAGAAGCAACAAUUGGUUUAUUUGGUGAUUAAAUAAAUGAGUACAAUGUCUUCAAUUUAUGUACAUACCUACUAGCUAAUACCUGCCUACUUAGCGCAACCAAAUAUUUUAAUGAAAGUAAUAUUAAGGUAAAAAAGUGGUAAGAAUAAUCAAAAUACAUAUUCACUCGGCAAAAUAAUAACUCUGCC